UGUGUCAGUUUCGUUCCUUCC
rnacentral:siRNA from 1 species